rnacentral:tRNA from 1 species
GCGCCGUUAGUGUAGUGGAUCGCACGCAAGAUUCCGGUUCUUGAAACGCGGGUUCGACUCCCGCAUGGCGCA